GCAAGGGGAGCGGCAGACGGGAGAGUAACGCGUGGGAACGUACCCUUCAGUUCGGAACAACCCAGGGAAACUUGGGCUAAUACCGAAUACGUCCGUAAGGAGAAAGAUUUAUCGCUGAAGGAUCGGCCCGCGUCUGAUUAGCUUGUUGGUGAGGUAACGGCUCACCAAGGCGACGAUCAGUAGCUGGUCUGAGAGGAUGAUCAGCCUCACUGGGACUGAGACACGGCCCAGACUCCUACGGGAGGCAGCAGUGGGGAAUAUUGGACAAUGGGCGCAAGCCUGAUCCAGCCAUGCCGCGUGGGUGAUGAAGGCCCUAGGG
rnacentral:rRNA from 1 species